GGUUCUUUUUUUUUUCUUUUUUUCCUUUUUUUUUUCUUUUAAAAUUUUCCAUUUUAAGUUGGUUAUUUCUGAUUUAUAUUUAAAAGCAAAUAAUAAUGAUAUGGUAGGAAAUACACACCAAACAGGAUGUGUAAAUUAUUAUACAAUAAGUAUUGUGCAAUAGCAAGAAAUUUUCAAUUGCACAGUAUUGCACAAUAGCAAGAAAUCUUCAAUUGCACAGUAUUGCGCAAUAGCAAGAAAUCUUCAAUUGCACAGUAUUGCGCAAUAGCAAGAAAUAUCCAAUAGCACAAUAUUGCGCAAUAGCAAGAAAUUGUCAAUUGUACAGUAUUGCGCAAUAGCAAGAAAUAUUCAAUUGCACAGUAUUGUGCAAAAGAAUAUACUUCGUAUAAAUUGCUUAUUUCUUGAUCAAUUUCAAUGGGGUUUUAUUCUUGAAUUCUUGGGGUUCUUUAAUAUGCUGAAUCUAACCAUGUAUUAAGUUUUUGGAUUUUGGGCCCUGUUUUUAAAUUGGUCCACAUUGAGGUCCAAAGGGUCCAAAAUUUAACUUUGUUUGAUUUCAUCAAAAAUUGAAUUAUUGGGGUUCUUUAAUAUGCCGAAUCUAACCGUGUAUUUAGAUUCUUAAUUUUUGGUUCCAUUUUCAAAUUGGUCUUCAUAAAGGUCCAAAGGGUCCAAAAUUAAACUUAGUUUGAUUUUAACAAAAAUUGAAUUUUUAGGGUUCUUUGAUAUGCUGAAUCUAAACAUGUGUUUAGAUUUUUGAUUAUGGGCCCAGUUUUCAAGUUGGUCCAAAUCGGGGUCCAAAAUUAAACUUUAUUUGAUUUCAACAAAAAUUGAAUAUAUGGGGUUCUUUGAUAUGCUGAAUCUAACCAUGUAUUUAGAUUUUUGAUUUUUGGGCCCCGUUAUCAACUUUGUCCACAUUGAGAUCAAAAGGGUCCAAAAUUAAACUUUGUUUGAUUUCAUCAAAAAUUGAAUUCUUGGGGUUCUUUGAUAUGCUGAAUCUGACCAUGUAUUUAGAUUUUGGAUAUUGGACCAUAAUAGGUGAAUGUCCAAUUUAAAUUUUUUAAGUUCUUAGACCACAUUCAUUCUGUGUCAGAAACCUAUGCUGUGUCAAAUAUUUAAUCACAAUCCAAAUGCAAAGCUGUAUCAAGCUUGAAUGUUGUGUCCAUACUUGCCCCAACUGUUCAGGGUUCGACCUCUGCGGUCGUAUCAAGCUGCGCCCUGCUGGGGAGCAUUUUAUUUUUCCAUAGAAUACCAAUAUAUAUGUUAAAAAUAUAUUGACAUUUAUUGUCAAUAAAUAUCCUGUAUGUCUGGAUAGUAUGCUCUUUUUUUUUUUUUUUUAACAUGUGUCAUAUUGUCAUAAUUUUCAGGAACCCAACCUAACCUAUAUUACUUAAAUCUAUUUAUCAUAUUAACUCAGAUGUACAUCAUCAAAUCAAAAAUUAGAAUGUACAUUUUCUAUGAAAGUUACUCUCUAAUUUAGUGGUGCUUGUUCAUUGAUUCUUCUAAAAAUCAAAGACAUUUAAAAGUUUCUUUCCUUCUGUUAAAAAUUAUCACUUUUAUGAUCUCUAUUCCAUGUAGAAAGCUCAUGAAUACUGUAAAUUCAAAAAUUAAUGUGUGCGUUUAUUAUUGGGAAUCCUUGACCAUUGGCAAAAAGAUUUUAUGAAGGAAACUCACUACUAAAAUUAUGAAUGCAAGUUUUUUUUAAUGUUAACCUUAAACUGCCGCACUUUUAGCAUCAAUCUAAACAUGGCAAUAAUUUCUGAAUUUACAGUAUUGAAUAAAGUGUCACCAUGAUGCAGUAUGAAUUUGUUGAAGGUUCUUAAAGUUAAUUAUAUUUUACUUAAAUGUUUUGUCUCUGUAAGAAAAGAUGUUAAAGGUAUUUGUUCUUGUUUAGUUUAUGAAAGUAAAUAUUUGUACCUUU